CCCUUAGAUGUUCUGGGCCGCACGCGCGCUACACUGAUGCAUUCAACAAGCCUAGCCUUGACCGAGAGGUCCGGGUAAUCUUUGAAACUGCAUCGUGAUGGGGCUAGAUUAUUGCAAUUAUUAAUCUUCAACGAGGAAUGCCUAGUAAGCGUGAUUCAUCAAAUCGCGUUGAUUACGUCCCUGCCCUUUGUACACACCGCCCGUCGCUCCUACCGAUUGAAUGUGUUGGUGAGGAGCUCGGAUUGGCAGCAGUUGGUGGUUCGCCACCGGCUAUUGCUGAGAAGUCCACCAAACCGCCCCAUUUAGAGGAAGGAGAAGUCGUAACA
rnacentral:rRNA from 1 species